rnacentral:tRNA from 1 species
UUUACUUUGGCAGAUUAGUGUAUUAAAUUUAGAAUUUAAAUAUAAGAUUAUAAUUCUUAGGUAAAA